UACGAAGGGGGCUAGCGUUGUUCGGAAUUACUGGGCGUAAAGCGCACGUAGGCGGCUUUGUAAGUUAGAGGUGAAAGCCCGGGGCUCAACUCCGGAAUUGCCUUUAAGACUGCAUCGCUAGAAUUGUGGAGAGGUAAGUGGAAUUCCGAGUGUAGAGGUGAAAUUCGUAGAUAUUCGGAAGGAACACCAGUGGCGAAGGCGACUUACUGGACACAUAUUGACGCUGAGGUGCGAAAGCGUGGGGAGCAAACAGG
rnacentral:rRNA from 1 species